AGAUCAUGAUGCUCCUGUGCUCGCCCUGCUCGUGGCUGGCACUCAAACAGCAUCCACAGCAUUGCAAUGGGGCAUCCUGCUGCUGCUGAAGGACUCCCAGAUUCAAAGGCACAGCACAAACCAGGUGAGGCAUGGGAGUCAAGGUAAAGCCGACAUCAGCAGUGAGAUCCAGGUCUGACUUCUCCACUCCUGGGGGAGGCUGGAAAACAAAUUUGCGGAGCAAGCCCGAAAAGAAGAGGAACAGCUCCAUUUUGGCCAGUCCUUCACCAAGGCAAGCCCUUCUCCCUGAAAACAACCAGGGGAGAAGUUAAUGAUCAGCACUGUAACUGUUAGUGUUGAUGUCUGAGACCUUCUAAACAGGAGGUACAGUCUGGAAGAGCAGGCUGCUGAGGUAGGAAGUUUUCCCUUCCUUCUCUUUGUAUAUUUGAGGUGCUACUGAUUUGGUCUCAAACUACACAGAAAUCUGUAGAUAUAUGAAAUUGUUCAGUGGCUGUGAGUAAAUCCCUGUCUCCCAUCUCUCCCAAAGAAGAGGUGGUUACCUACAGCAGUGGUGGAUAGGAGAAAUGACCGGAAAUCCUUUACCCUCUGUUCUGUGUCCCCUGGCUUCCACACUUGAUUUCAUCCUGAAAUCAGGGGGAACUGCCAUUAGCUUCACACCCACAGCCCUCUUACCUAUGGAGAAUGGAAUAAAUGCUUCUCUCCUGAUGAAGUUCCCAUUGGCAUCAAGGAAAUUGGAAGGGUUGAACUGAUCCGGGGUUUUCCAGUGUAACUCGUCAUUCAGAGCAGAGGUCAGCAGUGGAAUAAUCUCAGUACCCUGAAAGGGGUCAAAGAAACUCAUGGAAGAGGAGAUCACUCCCUUGCUUGAGCCAAACUGCGUUAUUUUUCCAAUGUGAAGAAGCAAAUAAAACAUGACAGAUAGAAACUGGGGAAUGUUUCUCUGUCCCAUCGUGGCUCUGUCUGUUUUCAGUAACUUCUGUUUUAUUUUUUGGACCACAAGACAUUCUUUUCUUACAGAGUCAGAUCUUUCAACAAAGGUGCUGGGGUAGAGGUUCCACACUUGACAUAAAAGAUUAAAACCAGUGUGAUUUAAUUAAAUCUCUGGUUAAUAAUGAUUCAAACAACUGUACCAGACCACAAUCCAUUGUAUGUUUAUAGUAAUUAUCCUGGAUCUAAGACAAAGGGUCACAGCACUGAUUAAACCAUGCAUCACCAUGUCUUUAGUUAUUUAUGUGUUUCUUCUGCUUUUAAGAAAGCUGUGAGGAAUCUGUGCAGCACAAGCUGCCAGCCUCAGAGCUCACCUUAGGAAUCACGUAGCCUCGGAAAUUCACAUCGCUGGGAGUCGAUCGUGAUACGCCCAUGGGGACAAUAUUGGCAAACCUUUGUAUUUCAUGUAUUACUGCUUCUGUGUACGGCAUUCUUUUCCUGUCCUCCAACUUAGGCAGCUCUCCCGGUUCAAUGACAUGGUUCAUUUCUUCCUGAAUCUUUCCUUGGAGGGAGGAAAGGAUUAAGAAGCUGAUAACAAUCUCAUCUUGCGACUGAAAUGGCUACCAGUUUGGCAGAGAUUAAGAAAAGGGAGAACUGUAAAUAUCUGGAAAGGGCAGAAGUGGGUAAGUCAGGGCAUGGUGUGGUUCUUUCAGGUUUGUUGUUGAGCUAGGGCAGCUUGAAUGGAGUCACUACAGUCCAUCUCAUGCCUGACUCUCAUUACACACCUUUGUUGCCCCAUAACCUUCAACAGAAACCAGAUCAGAAUCAGCUCCUGAGGAGACCUUUAGUGACGUAAGCCCAUAGCCUGCAGGUGAAUAACCAGGAGGGAGCUUUCCUGUGUCUGUAGGCUGCCCCUGAGCCUCUCCCACUUGGCUGGGCUGGUUUAUUGCAACCCAGCUGAAUCAAAUGCCUUUGUAAAGUCAACGCUUGUUAUCUCUCUCAGAGCACUCAGAAUAAUUACUCUAGGCAACACUGAAUGAGUUGAACUCCCUUCCACAACCAAAGCCUUAAGCAUGCAACAAUAAAUUGUACAAGAGACUUGUCCUCCUUACUCUGAAUUUCUGGGUAUUUCAUCAUCAGAAGCAGCCCCCAGCGAACAGUUGUGGAUGUAGUCUCAGUCCCAGCAGCAAAGAGGUCCAGGGUUGAAAACAUCAGGUUUCCAUUGCUGAAUGCAGUGUGUGGUUUCUUUGACUCCUUAAAAACAUGGGAGUAAUACAGCAAGUGAUACCCAUAUGUGACUGUGUUGCCGCCAUUUUUAUCUGCAUUUUAGCCUUCUGUGACUUUUUAUGUGACUAAAACUGAAUAUUUAGUCUUUCAGCAUUAGGGUCUAUGCUGUGUGGAAUUUUUCUGCUCUCAAGUCUAGGUAUUAGAAAUAAUUCCAAUAAAUUGGAAUUUAUUUACUGCAACACAGUUUAUCACUGUACCAUUCUUGCAGGAAGGUUUGGGAUGAUCUCCUCCUUAUGUGUGCUGAGUGAGAACUUAUUUCCCCUCAUGGGAUGUCUCGACAACUAAAUCCCUUUAACCAGCAGUUCCAGUGGGGCCAUGAGCAACUCCAGCACAGCUCAAUGUGUGAGCUUUGAUAAAUUCUGCUCACUGCAGUUCUUCUGCUUCCACUCAUUGCCAGGCCCUGACAGAUGGCCAGUUCUAAGGGCUGGCUAAGUCAGAGCUACGGGAAGGGAACAGAAAGACACUGGGACUUAGUUUUAAAGUACCUGCUUUUGCUUUACCAGAAAGGCAUCGACAAAGCCUGUUAAGUCAUUUUCAUUUAGCUCCUCUUUGUGUUCCUGGAAGAGCUUCUGGAGAAAAGCAUUCAAUUCAAGGAUAUUUCGUAGCACAGUCUUGGAAGCCCCAGACAGAAAUCCAAGGGAUGGGUAGAAGUUAUAUAACUGUGGAGCAAGAGAAGUUUUACUGUUAAUUGGUAUUUUGGAACAUAUACUGGUAUCUCAAAUCACACUGCUGGUCCCUUGUCCUAUGCCCUGACAUUUGAGGCUGUAAUUCUCCUCCUUCUACAGUCUAAGGAGCUCUGAAUUCCUGCAGAAAUAGAAUGUUCUUUCUGUAAUCCAAAGAGGCAGGUUUGGGACUGUGCUUCUGGUCUUCAAAGAGGAUAAAUUUGUUCCUUUCAUGGAGACCUUGUUUUUUUUUUUUUCUUUUACUAAUAAGUUUCACAGAGUAAGUGCAGGAGCCUGGGAAUCUGUGCACUGCAGAUACAGAAACAUAGAUGUGUUCUGUACAGGCUGACUGGCUGACAAUGUUCUUGUUCUCAAGAAGAAGUAUGUGGGAGGCCAGGAGAGCAAAUGCUGGAAACUGGGUAUCCCCCCAAAAAACUAACAGCUAAAAUAUAAAAUUAAGCUCUUACCUGCACCAUAGGGGAGCCCAACAACUUAGUAUUUUGAUUUAUCAGCUUCAGCAAAGUUAGAAAUACUGGAUCAUCAUAUUCAAACCUCUCUCCAAACAAUAUAGAGCAGAUGACAUUGGAUACAGCAUUGUUGAGUAUCAUUUUUGUAUCAAAUGGUUUCCCUGUAUUUCAAGCAAUGAAAACAAAUGACAAAAUGACUAUGCUUGUUUCAGUCUGGUUUCCUAUGGAAAUGUAGCCCUGAGCUCCCAAAGAAAACUCAUUCCCCACCCAGAAUUCAUAGCAGGGAAUUUUGUUUCAGGUUCAAUAACCUACUGCACUGUAUGCUGAACUUUAACCACGAGAUACCAUUUGCUCAGAGUUAAACUUUCAUUAAUCUUUAUUGUUCUGCUAGACUGUUCUCUGCCUCUGGAUGAAAGACUUGACACUCACCAUGAUAGGAUUCAAAAUAUUUGAUAAGGGAGUUUACUUCCUCCAGGAUUCGGAUCUCAAGGGUUCUCUUUCCCAUUCCAAAAUCUCGCAGUGUGGACAAGGUAAAUCUUCUCAGAGUUUUCCACAGCUCUCCAUGGCUGAAUACUAUGCCUAAAAUAAAUGUGUAACAUCCUUAUGGCACCUGUGGUUCAUAAACAUUCUUACACACUGGUGCCUCCUGUGAUCACAGAAAGCGAUCUGGAAAAGGACAGUACUCUCUGCUGUGAGAACGUAAUUAACAGAGACAAAACUUAUCCAAGCAGAAGGUCAAUUACCAUUUCCUUGUGUCAUUUUCCUAAAUAUGGGUAUUUCUGCUCUCUCUCCAAACUCUUCAGCAUGAUUUAAAAGGGCAUCCUUGAUGGUUUCAUAUCCAGCCAGUACCACGACCCUCCUGGGUCCAAAAUGCACCGUGAAGACGCUGCCAUAUAUCUUGGAGAGCUGCCAAGGUGAAUAAAUAUGUUCAUUCAAAGCCAGAUCUGGACUCAAACACUAGUACUAGCCACUCUAGGUGGUUUCUAGACCAAAAGGAGCCUCCCAGCCCUGCCUGAUGUCUCCAGGUGCUGCUGUAAUUCAAGUAGGGAGCAGUAGCUAUGAUUGCCAGCAUCUCUGCUUGCACCCUGUUUGCACAACAAGGUGUCUGCUAUCACUGCUCCUAUCAGGGGAGUCAAUAAAGCCACUGCAUUCCUGUGGUGUUCUGCAGUAACAGGCCAGCAAUACCACCUUGGGAGGCUGGGCAGAGAAUGCUGUAGCAGGCAGGCCUGUUUAUUGUAGUGCUGGUGACCUGAGGCAAGCAGACGUGCACACACCUUUGAGGCUGAAGCCACAAACACUGCAAAAACAAAGCCAGACAAUAACUCUUUCUUUCAGGACAGCACUUGUCUCUAAUUAUGGCAAGGUGGGUAGUGUUGCAGUCAUUAUGCAAUUAUUUGCUGGCCACUAGAAACUUGAAUCUGACUAGGAAGCAUAUUCUGGUAGAUAAUGUCACAGGAGUGUUAGGCUUUCAUCACAAAUUAAAUAUGAAUCAUCUUUUACCCUGAAAGGUAGCUUUGACAAGCUAAUCAUUCACUUGGUAUUUUAGGCCUCGUUUGAACACACUGCAAGCCAUCCACUCCAAAUGUCUCCUUGUUUCUGAUGUGCCUGGGUUACCAUUUUCUAUGCAUUAGAUAGAUUCCACAAAUUGAAUUUCAGAUUAGAAGCAGCUCCUGUUAUUACACCAGACAAAUUGAAUUUGUUUUCAUCAAGCAGUGGUCUGACGGCCUGGGAGAUAACAUUAGUACUGGUUCUUUCAUCCCUGGCCGCUCACAGAGUGUGGCAGAGCCAGGGGCAGGGAAUCACAGCUGCCUCCGAGCCUUCCUUUGGCCAUCUCCUCGCAUUAGUGCUUCUUGGCAGCUGCUCUGCUUUUACUCAGCAGCACAAGUAUUGGAUGUGGCAGGCCUGAAAGCCCAAAUAAAGCUUCUUGGUAGAUUAUAGGAAAUUAGUCUGGUGUUGUCACAUGACAUUUGUAUCAUAAAAUCCCCCAGUAUUGCCAAAAAUAGUUCAUAAAUUGUUUCAUACUGACACCCUCAAACCUAUCCAGGAGCUGAGGACCAGAAGCCCAUCAGAACUGAUCUCUACACAAUCCUCUGCCCCAUAAAUCAAGGCAGAUGAGCACUGUGUGCCUGCUGUUGGAAUUCUGUGCUUUGGCAAUGCAGGAUGCCCUUUCUUCUACAGCUAAAAGGAGGAUUUCAGUGUCUGCACUGCCCUCUCACUGCAGAUGUUCAGGUGGCUGAAGGAGUUCUCUGGGGACCAGCUUUCCCCCACCAUAGUGUCCAGUAAGCAGCACACAUACAGGGCAUGUGACAGGUCCCUCACAGCACCUCAACUGUCUCUACAGCAACCAGAUAAAAUCUGAAUUCCCACUGAAUUGUCCUCAGGUCCCUGUGGGAACACAGCAGACACUUUCUGAAACAAACAUUGCCCCUAGCUUUUUAAUAUUUAAGUUGUUUAGGGUUUUAUUUCCCUCUCUCUCUUGUAGAAAUAUAACUGUCCAUGGAGCUGUGUAAGAAAAAGCAAGUUGUUUAGCUAGAUAUAUAAAAUCAUGCAUUGAGUCCUCAACCACCCUGGGCAGUGUGUGCACAGGGAGGGCUGGGGAGUUGUGCUUUGCAUUGCAGAAAUAUAAUUAGUUUUGGGGAAAAAAAGUGUGCAUAGGACAACCCCCUUACUUCAUCACUUCCAUCCACCCACCCUUCCUAAAGGUCUGGUGGCAGUGAGACAUCUGAUGGCAGCAGCCUGGCCCAACUCAAGUCUUUUACCAGCAGCUUCUGAAGGGCUCAAAACACGCAAUAGUUUGGAGCAGAUUGGGUGGGUGGUCCACAAUUGAGUGUGUAUAAAGAAAGGAGUGUGUGUAUUAUAUUUAUAUAUGUAAAUACAAGAGUGUGUGUGUGCAUCUCUGAAGGUAAAGUCAUUCUGCCAGCCUGCCUGUGUGCCACAUUUCUCAUUGCUGCACUCCACACAAAGCAAACACAACCACAUCUCUAUUUUCCCAGCUGUAUUUCUCAUUUCAGGAAUUGCACAUUUGCCCCCUGCCUGCUCGCUCAGCCCUUACCUCUGUCAGUGACUGGAAUGGCUUUUUCAGGUCCACCACGUUCAAGUUCCCAAUCAGAGGAAGAGGUCGUGGCCCAGGAGGCAAAUUGCAAACCGACUUCUUGGAGCUGGAGAGAAAGUAAAGGAGAGCAAACAGCCCUGCUGCCAAACAGAGCAGCGGGCUGGAGCCCACGUACUGCAGGAAACUCUGCACGGCCAUGCCCAAAGCCAGCUGAGGGUAUGAGCAUCUUGGGGUCCCUUUAUAGCCCUUCUGUCAUUGCCUGAACACACCUUCUGGGGAAGUGGCUUUACACAGAGAAAAGGGCUCUGCAGACUUGUUUAUGUCCACUCCGACCAGAUGUACUCCAUUUUCCUGCCAGAUGAAACACCCUUUUUUAUUCUGAACCACGGAUUAUCGUAAUCCGGAGCUCUUAUUUCAUCUACAACACUGUUACCCAGUGAAUAUCUGUGUUAUGGGCAUGUUCUCUACGUGAUUUCAGGGUCAGAACUCAAGGACAGGGGCCAUGCUGGACUGCUGUCACUGUGCCUGGUCCCAGGACUCAGCUGGACCUCUGGUGAUGCAAUGGAGGAAGCAGGACACAGGAGGGCAAGCCCACAACAAUGCAUGGCCCAGGGUGCACCUGGCAAGCAAGUCCUCGGGGAGGAUGAGACUGCCACGGAGAAGCUGCAAUGGUGCUUACAUGAAGAUAUGCUCAUUCAGGAUUGCUGAUGGGAGCAGAUCUAUUUUCAGGUGACAGCUCUGAUUCUUUUUGCUUUCCUGCCGCCCCAGUAAAAUCACCUCCUAGAGCAAAUCACUGUUUUGUAUUGCUAGCAUUGUUAUUGUCUUUGUCCCAAAAACCCCCUACCUGCAAUCCCAAAAUGCCCCUGGCACCAUGUCAGUCACAAUUAGGCAGUUUAGGGCCCAGAGAACCAUGUGCCUGGAUGGCCAUGCCUGCCUCAGCAACUGGUGAUGACUCUCUCUGUUUAUGAACAGCUGCAUGCCAUCCUCUAGGAGAAACCAUCCCCUGCAGGCAAUCCUGCCUAGAUUGGGAAAGAGAUGCUGAAUCCUUGUAACUUGGGAGGAACCAGAUCAGACUCUGCAGCUGGCCAGGCAGAGGAUGGAGGAGGUGCCAGGCAGGAGGAGCACAUGGCAGCAGUUCUGGCCCUGCAGGUACUGAGUCACGUCCCAAGCCAGGGCAGGGUCCUGCAAGAGCCCACGUGCCCAGGUGACAGCUCCAAGAGCCACCCUCUGCAUCCUUGGCGGGUGACAACAAAGCAGAAGUGACCAAGAACUGGAAGCCACUUGUAGAAAUGGUGGCUCUGGGGGAAGGAGCUGAUUUGAUGCUCUAUCCCAUAUUCUCAAGUGUGAAUAUUUUACUCCCUAGUUGCAGAUUCUGGCAGAUUACUGGGCUCUGCUGCUGUUCAACCCUUUAAAAAUCUUUAGUUUAAUAAUUCUUUUGCUAGAAUUCUCCAAGGCUCCCAGGUACAGGCUACACUGAUGGAAAAAUUAUGAUUACUUAUUAAUAAUAAUAAAAGUACAUUAGCCAAAGGCAAGGGGAAUCAAUAAACUCUAACAAGAUUGACAUGAAAAAGCUGUCUGCAUGUCUGCCUGCUCUCCAAGGCUUGUUAUCAGGAGUGGAGUUUUUCACAAGGGGGAACUUUCCUGUGCAGAAGAGGAUCAGGCAGGGUGGGCAAAGAAAGGAGGGCAAUGGAUGAUGGUCACAUCCAUCUCAAGAUUUGCUGCACAGCUGAGAGGUCUUGGCCUGCACCUUCCUCUCACAGACAUUUCCAAGAAUAUCCUGUUCUGCCAGAUUCUUCUCUGAGCAAAUGGUGUGACUACUGGGACUCCUGAGACUUUAUAAUAUGCAGUCAGAGGGAGGGAAAAAGCCCUGCAUGGGGCCAGCUGGGUACCAAAGGAGGAAAUCUGUUGCUGUUUACAUAGAGCUCUGUUGGAGUAGAGCUGGCUGCUGCCACAGCAAGAAAAAUCACCCUCCCUAGGGCUUCAAUCUGUGAUGACAAUAUAGGGUGAGACCCUUUCUCAAGCAGUGAGCCCAUGGACCUGCAGCCUGUUGGACUGUGAGAAAUGAGGGAUGAGGAAUCUUUGCAGUUUUAAAAUAGAGCCAAUGCGAUGCCCUCACCCCCAUUUCUUCCUCACAUCCUUUGGCUUCCAGGGUGCAAUCCUGGACACAGCCUACAGCCACAGGCUUGCAGGUGAGGAUCCCACACAGGAUCCCACACAGGACUGGGAGACAACAUUGCUCCCAGCUCACAUCUUUGUCUUUCUACCAGCUCAAGGCAGAACCACCUUCAGGUGAGCAGAUUUUGUGGGCACAGCUCAGGGGGACUCAUCAGUUCCUCCUGGACAAUGAGCCUGCCCUCAAACACCACAGUAACUCCUGUGUGCUCAUCUGGAGAAGGUCACAUCGCCUUCUAAUGGGACACAGCUUAGCAGUGCCACAGUAACUGUAGGAUAAUGCAGGGAAAGGGUUGUUAUAAGGCCAUAAUUCAGUCAAUGACUGCUGAUAACAUCAUAAACCACAAGAGUGAACACCAAGUGCUUGUGUGCCUUGCAAGGCUCUGCCACUGCUUUACAGCCUCUGGAGAUGCCUAUCAGCCCAUGCAUUGUUAUCAGGGACACAUAAAGCCUGAGCACACCCUAUUAAACAUUAACAUUUUUAAAGACCCAGAUGUGUUAAAACUCAGGCUGCUCCUUGCUAAUGGAUUUUGCUUGCCUUGACAAAUGCCAGUGGAAAAAGAAAUCAAAAGCUUUCCGACUCUGACGUAUUUCAAUUUUUCAUCAUUAUUGCAUUGUUUUAUUGGAUUACACCCACUUCUUCCCACCCUGCAAAUCUGUAUUUCUACAGGAUCACUACAGGGUAGCGAUCAGUAUCUCAAGUGUUCACUUUGCUCAUUUUUAUACAAAUGAUUCCUUAAUUUCUUUUCAUUCAUCUGUCAAAUCAGCGUGGGUUGCAAAUCUACUCUGGGAAGAAAGACUCCUGAAAAAAUAUUUUUUAAAAUCUUUAUUUCAUGGCAACUUAAAAAAAGAAUAGAUUCCUGGGUUGUUGUUUUGGGGUUUUUUUUCACAUGUUCUGAAUUGAAAGAUUAUAUGUGAUGAGUCUGGUCACUGGGAGAAGAAAAUAAAAAAAUAUGUGCAUGAGGUUAGUGCAUUGUGCCUGUGCAGAGCCUAAGGUAAGAGUAUUUCACACACAUGUUAAGCAUUUACCAUUCUAGGGAACUUUGUUGCUUUUAAAGGACUCCUUCUUGGACUGAAUAGAUGCCAUUCCUCCAUGAGUCUCACUCAGUGAGAAAACACAUGGGAGAUCCUUGGCUUUGGUGCUGGCAAUGUACUUUUUAAUAUGCAUAUCUACACAAAUAUUUGCAGUAAAAUCCCUUGUAACUGUAGCUAGAACCAUGAUCUUCCAGAUCUACAUUUACACCAACAAGUCAAGGCAGCCUGAACUGGGAGGUGAGUAUUGAGUAGGUUGGGUUAUAAAAAGAUGAUUUUCAAAAUACAUCUGAUAAAUCAAAUCCCUCAACACAGCUCCAAGGAUUUUUUGUUCUGGUUCUCUGGCUUCUGUCUCUCUCAACAACAUAUUGCAGAAAUUGUGUUAAUCCAAAAGAAAUUUGAGGCAUAUCAUGAAGGGUGAUUAGUUCUACACAGAUCAUGGUUCUUAGAUUUACAGAAGCAGGGUCCCAGCAUCUUCCUCUUUGGCCCCUCUCUUGAUGCAGGUGGAGAUGUGGAUUUAGAUGUACCAGAAUUGCAAUAUGCAAUUCAAGAUGAAGGUUUGUUUCACCUCUCAAUGCAGUGUUGCUAUUUCUCAAUGUUCCUCUCUAAACUGAUGAGGCUUUGGCUCAGUAAUAACAGAAAAUGAGCUAUCAAUCUGUACAUCUUUAUAGAGCAGAUAACAUAUUAAGGCCCUGACCUUAUUGGCAUGAAACUACGAUUUCCCUGUAAGUGCAAAACAAUAAUAUUUCAUUAAUCAUCCACAACAGAAAUCCCCAUUCCCCAGACUAUUCUGGCAAUAUUCUGCAUUUUUGCUUGUCUAGGAACCUGAAUUAAGAGGGAGAAAAAUGGUUUACAACAGCCUGUGGCAGUGAUGGAGCAAGAGGCCUUAUGUAAGAGCUGGCGGCGUGCUCGGCUCCCGAAGGUGAGGCAGAGGAAUGAGUGAUCCUGGAAGGAUGUUUCUCUGAGGUGUGUUCUCUGCCUGCGCUGGGAACAGCAGUCUCAAGGGCACAAAUUCCAGCAUCUGAAUGUGCUUGGUCUUGUUCAGCUCAUUAAUUUCCUACAGCUAUCCCAAGUCAAGCUACAAAAUCCCCUAGUGCUUUACUCCGAGCCUUUCAUGGCUUGUCAAUAAAUUAUUUUCCAAUUAACUACCUGAUAAUUUGAGUCUGCAGGCUCUUAAAAGAGGCAGCGUGGUGAGAGAGGGAAACUAAUGGAAGUCACGGACAUUUCCCUGCCCAUAAAAUGAAUAAAGGUUCUUCUCUGAAGUAUUACUCAAUUUGGUGCUUCCAAAACGCACUGGUGAGUGUGUAAUAACUCCUUCCGAGGCGAUGUUUGUCCAGCUGAUGGAUAAACACCAGUAGUGGAAUAAGUUUUCAGCACUACCUGACAAUAUUAGAAAAGAACAAUUUUUAGUGUUACUUCAGUCCAUAAUUAAUGAUGAAAGGUCUGAUUCAAGCAAAGGAUUUUUAUUUCUUUUUCAGUCUAUCAAGCUGUGUAACUUGAAAGGGGAAGAGCUAAGAUUUUCUUUAGUUUGGGAAGUCUUCUAAUUCGAGCAUUCCAAUUUUUGGCAAGGGCUCAGGACUCCAUACUAGAGAGACUGUAAAACACUACGAAUUAUCUGAUCUCUUUUGUACAAUGGGCACCCUUUUGCUGAAGAAGCUAUUUCAGAUUUCCCUGAUGCAAAGUCUCUUGCUCCUUUGAAAGAAAAUAUGUGAAAAGCAUUUAAUACUUUUUUUGUGGCACUGCUCUUUUUGGCUCUGCUUUUGUUGAGUCCUUUUGGAACUGGUUGGUUUAAUCCACAAAUGAGUGUUUUUUUCCUUCACAAUGAUUAUCUAAUGUGGGUUUUAUUUGAUCUCCUUGGGAAAAAUUUAUCCUACGUUGCUGAAGCACGUGUACUGAAGAUUCUAUGAGAACCUGUACCUUUAAAGGAAAUUCUAGAAGGUACAACUGGCAUUUGCGAUAAAAACAUUAAGUAAUCAUAACAAAACACCUGCUACUAUACCUGACCUGAAUUUGAGCAACUACAACAUUUAAGACUCCAAAGAAAAACCCUGAGUUAAUGAAUAGUC